rnacentral:rRNA from 1 species
CCCUUAGAUGUUCUGGGCCGCACGCGCGCUACACUGAAGGGAUCAGCGUGUUUUCCCUUCCCGAGAGGGACGGGUAACCCGCUGAACCCCCUUCGUGGUAGGGAUCGGAGCUUGCAAUUGUUCUCCGUGAACCAGGAAUUCCCAGUAAGCGCAAGUCAUAAGCUUGCGUUGAUUACGUCCCUGCCCUUUGUACACACCGCCCGUCGCUACUACCGAUUGAACGUUUUAGUGAGGUAUUUGGACUGGGCCUUGGGAGGCUUCGGCCUCCCUUGUUGCUCGGAAAGACUCCCAAACUUGAGCGUUUAGAGGAAGUAAAAGUCGUAACA